CAAUCGGCCUGGAGUUGAUGGCCGUCGUGAUCAUUCAUCUCGUCGCAACACCGGGUCUGCACCCCUCGAGCCUCCAUCUGACAAUCAGCCAAGAAAGAGAAGACCGAUACGGA
rnacentral:ribozyme from 1 species